rnacentral:lncRNA from 1 species
CCCAAGGCUAGGAGGGCAGGACAGAGUAGCGAUGUGGAGAAUUCGAUGUCCGAGCGACCUCCUCGGAGGAGUGGAUCGAGUUAAAUAUAACUGCGCGAAUGGAAUGGCGCUAAAAAUAAGGUAGCAGCUGGCAGAUCCUCUGCCCUGUCCCGGGAAAGGAGGGGGCAAGAAUGGUUUCGCCCAGGGAGUAGCUAGGAGAAUGAUCCCGCGUGAUGAAGUGUCGGCUCCGAAGGGGGUGAAAAUGGUGAAUUCCUAAAAACCCAGCCCUCGGCUUCUCCAGCAGCUACCGUUAGCCUGGAGGGACCCAGCGGACGCCGGGCCCGCGGUGUCGCAUCGAACUGCGUCGGCAAGACUCUAGCUUGCAAUGCCAAGUCAUUUUUAAGCCCUGAUCCUGCCCAGAAUCUUUCUCCUCGCGAAUGAAAAGAACAAUUUUCGAGAGAAAGGCUCGUUUUGAUUAAAUCUGACAUGCUGCUGAUAACUCCAUGCUAAUGUGAAAUAAUUAACAUAAUAGCCAUAAUUAAAAGCACGCUAACAAUGCCAUAAAUUUAUCACACAAUUUUACUAGCUUUCUGCCCCUAACUGCUCUCUCAUCGUUAAUUAAACGUGUUGCCUUUUACAGAAUGGAUGUUUAUACAUUUCCAAUAUAAAUAAAUUCGAAACCAUCCUCUCUC